AACCCUCCAUCGCCCACUCUUCCAGCAUAGCCAUAUCCGCUGCGCCCUCAGAGGCAACACCCACUACCCUUUCCCCUCAGCCGUCGCCUCGACUUGCUCAGUCUUCACCCAGACUUUCACACCGAGCAGCCGUCAAAGUGCACUCUACACGACAGCAGCCCUCCAGCAAGAACAGCUAACCUUGGUGAAGGCCGGAUAGGUGAUCAUGCAUCUGGGGUCUAUGAAAGCGGAAAAUGUCAUAGUGUUCAUUUGGGCUAAUGGCAGGACUUCCAAGUGCCAAACACCACAAUAUAAAUGACUGGGGAAGGGGACGGUAUAUGAUAUUUAAAUACAGCACAAGCCAUAAAUCACCUAAAGUAUCUAGUUUCAAUUUUAAGUCAUUUUAAGAGUAGAGUGUUUGUGUCUUCCUAUACUAUACAGUUUGUCAAAAAGUGUCUUCUUAGCUUUUAAAAAUGUCAGAGGUUAUUUUCGGACUCCUUAUAGGGUGGUUAGUAAGUGUGACUGGAUGUUUAAGUGUGUUUCCAAGAGCAAAUGAAUGAUAAUUACGUGAUCAUCAGGAUUUAUAUAAUCAAGUAUUAUAUCUAUUUUUGUUCAGAAAAACAAAUAUUUAGUGGCACAGAUUAUAUUUUUGUCAUCUGUUAUUUUGAAGAACACCUUCAAUAAGCAUUACGUCUGCUCUAUGUAUUAUUGAAGACUGAUAUCAUGAUGCAAAGAUGCACAUUUUAUUAAAUGCUGUGACAAAUUUGUAUGCAUAGUGGAACAUGAAGACCUACGGUCCAAACAUUUUCUUUAUUUUAUUAUUUUGUGAAAUUGUUUAUAAAAAAGCUUUAUUUGAUGGAACA